rnacentral:lncRNA from 1 species
AAUGUGCUUACUGCAAUUUAUUUUUUUUUGAUUUCUGACAAGCUGACAUAACCUCUGUUGAUUUCGAUUUCUGACUUAAAGGCAGUACGACACAUUAAGAGAUAAUUUUUUUUUAUAUCAAUUAUUUUAUCUCAAUUGAUAAUUAACUAAUACAUAUUUUUUCAGAUACUGUGUGAUGUUGCGCUGCUGAAUCCUAGACAUGUGGAAAAGGAAAAAAAAUUUGAAAAACUAUCCUCAAGAGAGAAUAAAUUGUCUUCUUGUGAAAUAUCAUCAAUAAGCCCAAGCACAUAGACAAUGCUAGAUGUUUUCUACUAAGUUUAGGUAUGUAUUUACUUAUAUAAAAAAGAAUGUGGAGUGGCCAUGGAAGAAGAUAUCCAUUUGUGCUAAAAAAAGAAGACUUAAGUCCCACAAGUAAGUUAUAUAUAGAAGAUAUGUAUUCAAAAAUUGUCUUGCUUUAUAAAGUGAUCUCUUUUUUAUUAUAUCUUGUGCCAUUUAGUGUAACUUAUAUUUUUAUCAAAUUAAUUUGAAUCGUUUAUGAGAACGGUAUCCGGGUUGAAAUGGAACAUAUGAUACCUACUUUGAAUUGCCACAUAUAUAUAAAUGUACGGUUCUUUUCUAGCCAAAAUGGAUAACUGCUUCCAUGGCAACUCACAUUCUUUAAUAUAAGUAAAACCAUAACCAAACUUGGUAGAAAAUCCAGCCUUAUUAUCGAUCAGUCGAUCAGGUGUUAUUAAUGGAUUUUCACAAGAAGACGUCUUAUAUCUCCUGUAUGGAAUUUCAAAUUUGUUCUCCCAUUUUCAAAAGUAUGUGUUCACAGGCCCCAAUCAUUACACAAUCAUCUUAAAAAAUAUGUUAUUAGGUUAAUACCAAUUGACUAUAAAUAAUUGAUAUAAAAAAAUUAUAUUCUUACUGGCCUUACUGCAAUUUUUUUUUUUUGAUUAUGACAAAGGACAAUAAACCUCGUUUGAUUUCUGAUUUCUGACCUUAAAGGCAGUAAGCACAUUAAGAAGAUAAUUUUUUUAUAUCAAUAUUUUAUCUCAAUUGAUAAUUAACUAAUACAUAUUUUUUAGAUGCUGGUGAUGAUUGCGGCAUCGGUGAAUCACUAUACAUGUGAACACUGUAAAAAAAAUUGUUAACUAUCCAACAAGAGAUAAUAAUUGUCCUUCUUGUGAAAUAGCGAUCAAUGUAAAGCCCAAGCACAUAGACAAUGCUAGAGGUUUUCCUAACUAAGGUUAGUCUGUAUACCUAGUAAUAAAAGACUGUGGAGUGGCCAUGGAAGCAGAUUUGAAGCAGAUUAGCAUUUGUGGUUAAAAAAAAAGAAGGACUAUAAGUCCACAAGUAAGUUAUAUAUAGCAUAGAUAGUAUUCAAAAAUUGAUUUCUAUAAAUUGAUCUCUUUUUAGUAUAUUCGGUGCAUUUUAGAACUCAGAUUUUUUACAAAUAUUUGAUCGGUUUAUUGAAGACGGUAUCCGAGUGAAAUUGUGGAACAUUUACACCAAGGGUUCAAUAUCAGUGUAUUCUCAUUUGGAAGAUCUCAACAAUGUAAAGUAGCCCCACAUGUAUUAUAUGUGAUAAGUAAAAGUAUUAUCAAUAUUUUUACUAAUUCUUAUAUUUUUCUUCAGUUUAGGAAUCUCUGAGGAAUUUAUGAGGCCCCCAUGGAAACAGUACCGAUUGGGGCAAACAAAUAAUUUUAAAAUAGGGGGGGGGUAUGGUACAUAAAAUUUUUUGACUAUUAUUGGUGAAACUUAUUGGGUAUUUUUUUGGGGUGUGAAUGGAUACGUGUAAAGUUCGAUGAGUCUUAUUAAGCGUGACGGUAAAGGUUUUAAUAUCCAAUAAUUUUUACAUAUUGCAAGAGUAAUUAAAUAGGCAAGACCAACAGUGAAUAUUUUGGAUCGUAAUAAUUGUGUUUGCGAUCGUUUAGCUAUUGUACAUUAUCCUAUAGCAUAAUAGGUUGGUUGGAACUAAGUAAGUUCGAUAUAUAGGGUUAGAAUGCAGGUGCAAACUCGAUUUCCCUAAUAUUCGAUCUAAACCGGUUCAAUUCCAUAGCUUAUCAAUUCUAUAAUUUUUUUUUGUUGUUUUGCCCACACUGCGGAAAACUCGAAUAGUUUUCUUUCAUUUCCAGAUCUUUUUAUUAUCGAGGAAGUUCCGGACGCCGCCAGAAAUGGUGGUGAUCAAAUGUCGGCAAAACACGUGAUUGGAUCACGUUUCUGUGCCUCUAAGGCAUAAUGUCCCUAUGGGCAGACCGACGGUCAUUAGAGUAGUUGUUGUUGAAUUGAAAGCGACGAAAUGUUGAAGUAGGAGUGAUUAUAUGACUCUAGGCCAAAAAAUCAAGUGAUUUAAAAUAAAUUAUCGUUAUGUAUUUGAUUAAGGAGACAACAUUGUGCGGUUGAAUAAUGAGAAAUGAAGCAAUGUCUGAAUGAAAUGUCAAAGGUGCAUAGGUUGCUUAAAUAACAAGACAAAUAAAGUGAACGUUUGGAUCAUCACAAACCAUAUUAAAUUUUUAUUGUAUUAUGAAAAUGUUAUUUUUUGAUUUUUUCUCAGGUUUGAAGAAAUAAUUUUAAUUUUUACAAAUGUAUUUUGGUUUUAUUAUGGCCUAUUAUGGGGUCAUAAGUAAACAUUUUAAAAUUUAUAUUUUUGGUUAUCAAAAUUUAAUUUUUAUUUUCUCUCUAAGGGGGGAUUUUUGUUCUUCUACAUUUGAUUUUAAAUUUUUCCUAAUUUUUUUUCUUAAUUAUGGCAUUUGGCAAAUCAAUUUAAUGUAUAAAAUAUAUUUUUUAUGUAUUAUUUAUGGCCAGGACACUGGAACAAGUCAAAUUUAUUUAUUUUACUUUUCUUAUUCAAAAAAUUAUUUUUUUUUUCUUAUUUUUUUCUUAUUAUGGCAAUUGUAAGUCCAUUUAUUUCAUGUAAAAUUUUAUUUUUUUACUUUCAUUAUGGAUCAUGAGUCCAUCACAAUAUGAUAAAAUUUUAAUUCAUUUAAGAAAGUGUAAUUUGGACUUAUUUUGGCCUAAUGGCCAUAACAAGUCAAUUCAUUUUUUUUUAAUUUUUUCUUAUUCAAAACAUUAUUUACAAUUUAUUUAUCCUUUUUUUUUGCUUAGUAUGGCAAGUACAAUUUAUUUAAUUGAACUUUUAUUUAAUUUCUUUAAUCUAAUAUUUGGUGCCAUUUCCGUGUCGUCGGCCAAUUACCAUACGUGUCGUCCCCGUGCCAAGGUCAACUACUGUGGUCGUGCACCACCAUUUCUGUAUCCCGUUUCCGGGAAACCACCGACCGUGUCACUGUCUUUCACCAACUUAUACGUGCCCAUGCCGGUAUAUUUUUGUCGUGCUGGCAAGACCCACUUGACACCUCUGCUCAUCGUUCACCUCUCUCUACUUUUUUCUACUCGCUCUUUAUUCUCUUCCACUUCGCGGUACUCUACUCUUUAUCCUCUCUUCUCUCUCCCUCUUUUCCUCUCUCCUUCAAAUAUAGGUUAUUAAACUCUCGUCUCUCUCUAUCCAAAAUUAAGUGUUAUUUCUUUUAACAAUUUAUGUUGAGCGUGGGUGGGAAAUGGCAGGGUGAACAGGUCCUAUGGGGGGGGUGAUAGGGGGUGGGAAAUAAAUAGUGUUUAUGGGGGGGUAAAUAUUUUAUUGAGAAUUGUAUUUUGUAACAAUAUCCACGAACUGACACCAAAGAUUUACAUCCAAUCCCAAUUUCAAAGGGAUUGGAAGAGAUUGGGAUAACAUCAAUCGCAUACUAGAACACCAUCUCCUAAUUUGGAGAAUUAACAUCCCAUCAUAUUAAUAAUCCAAUUUCAUCCUUUAAAUCUACUACCAAACAUGGCCAAAGGGUAGUUCAACAUUCUACCACCAAUAUAUGAGAAAAAUCAGUCAAAACUUUUCCCCGCAUACAACCAAAUGUAAAGAUUUUGGUUUUAUUAGCAAAAAUAGGUAGAAACCAAAAAAAAAAAAGAAAAGGGAAAACGUGAACUUUUUGGUUUGUAGGUGGGCGGACAAUUUUUGCCUUCGAAUCCAUACUAUUAUUCAUAGGAACAAACGUCUUUGUACUUGGUGCAGGGGUGUAUAACCUUUGAAAUCAUCUAAUCUUCACAUUCUAGGACAAGAAAACAAUAAUAAAACACAGACGCCAACAAUAUCCCUUUCCUACACACUAAUGAAACUCCCUUCCUUUAAAAGUUUUGAAUUCCAUUAUGGUAAACACCCUUCAAUGAUGCAAAAGGAACCACCUCCUAGAACUUAAGUAUUACCGAAUCUCAACAUUCCCUCUUUGCCAACCACCACUAUUUUUAAAAUGAUUGGAGGUAUAGACCACAUCAAAAUUGGAUUGAAAACUAUAAAGGUUUAUUUUGUUCAAAUCAAACUAACAGGUGACCAAAAGUGAAACUUUGGACUUAACUACAGGGACAAAUGAUGAAAUUUAUGCCCACAAUAAAAAACAAUACUCCAAAGUUUCUGUUGGGGCCAUUGGAUAGUGCAAAAAAUACAAUUUACCUCCCUAUACUUUUAUGCGUACAAAACACCAAUUCACAUAAGCCCUCCCUCCCUCCACGUGGGGAAGAAGUGUGGAUGAAAUGGAUGAGCACGAAGGCUCCUCAAGAAACUCGAGGCCCUAUCUUUAGAGCCAAAAAGAAUAUCGAGCAACUACCCAUUAUCAACUCUGUUAUUGAAGCCACCAAACUCUCAGGACACAGGCAUUACACCCUGAUCCAAGACGCAACAUUCUUCUACAAGGCACUCUUCAUAGAUUUCAGUUUUGGAAAAGGUCUGAAGAUUUUGUCCUUACAAAUAGCAUAUCCCAAACAAGGCCAUACCAAAAUCUCACCGUCAACAUUAGAUCGCCUCCAAGAAAGAAUUCUGUAAAACUUGAAAAAGUUUCAAGUCUUUUCCCAUAGUCCAAGUCCCACAAGGCCCAUCAAUAACCGUAUGUUCACUUCACCUCCUCCACUCCACUCCACAACAACACACCCCCAAGGCCAUCCCACAUUGGAAAAAGUAUCCCAAUACCUUCUUUACAAGAAAAAGUCUUGCCAAAGGAUUUUAUACAACUCCCAACCAAACUUAACAUGUAAAAAAAUCGUGAUGUCCCUCCACUCCUCCUUAGGCAUUCGGCAUUACGAAAUCAUCAAAGCUAUUCUAAACUCCUCCUACUCAAAAACCGUAAUGGCCCGUGAUUCUUCUAACUACUAUAAAAAUUUUCUAAAAACUUCUGUAUUGAAUCCGACACCAUAGCCUUGUCUCCAUUCAUGCCAAUCAAAGCAUUACAAUCCUAUCUCCUUAAAGGAUGGUCACUUAAGGCGCCACACACCGCGGCGCCCGUUCCUCUUCAAAUCCUCUUGCACCAUACAUGCAAUCUAAACAUUCCUAUAGAGCUCUGGGUCUUCUUCUCGGCCUCUGCCUUGUAUUAGCAUUUGAUAAAACACCACAUAUUAGAACUACUCUCCUUGAACUACUUCCACUCAAUCAUAACAACUCCCGAAGUGAUAUUCCUUUUUCUCAACAUUAUAUCCCCUUCCAAAGCAAAACAAAUCCAAGUAUGUUGCCUCUAAUAAUUUACCUACUCCAAGACACACGCCUACCACCCUUCUUCUCCUUCUCUUCUCCACCCUACCUAAAUCUUCAUGAAGGCCCUUGCUUUCCUUUCUUCUUCUCAUCUGCUUUCAAAAAAACAAAAAGAAAAAAAAAAUGAUAUCUUCAAAAAGGCACGCAAUUUGAACAUCAGACGCCAACACAUUUUCAACUUCUAGCCCACAGAAACUUCGAAGAUCCCCCACCUCCAAAAGGGCAAAUAUUACUUCGCCUCCUUGUGGUUUGGGUCAUGUGUAGAUCCCCAAACCCCCACCCCCGGCCGUUUAAAUAUCACCACAUAACUCUCCCUGUGAUUUGUGGACUAAAACGCAUCGUUUUAACAGCCAAUGCAUCUCACUUACCGAGAUGGAGAGUGACCUAUUUCACUAAGGCAAAAAUACCCUCAUAAGGCUUUAAAUUGUCAACAUGCCACUAUCGUCUUCCCCCUCUCUACAUAGAUAUCUGUUUCAUUUGUGUAUAUAUUUAUUAUAUGAAGGAUGAUGGGGGUGGGGUUCAGUCAGUGCAUUGGUUAGAAUAAAUAAGAUUGAGAGCAUUAUUUCAAUUUUUAGUUUUGGUUAACGAUUUAAUGGGUGUGUUUAAUCCGAAACCCAAGGUGUGAUUUUCUAAAGGUCAAUGACGAAUCACCAUAACCUAUAGCGAAAGGGGCUGAACCAAACCUUGAAAGGCCAUCAAAACCAUGAGAAAAAAGAAACUUAUCCAAGUUAGUCUACAAAGAUAAGAUUUAGCAACAAAAAGAAUAGGGCCAAAGUGGCAAAUGAACAACUCCUCUCAGGAUUAAGCCUCAUCCAAUGAUUCCUAUAAACUAAGUUAAUUCUGCAAUCGAACAACUAUUACAUCCAGUGAACCUGCCCACCCUCCAAAAGGUCUCAACUCAAAACUAGUUCACUAUAAAAUUCUGUGAAGUCCACCCAUUGCUCAAUUAUAAAACACACACCACCUUUCACAAGGAGAUCUCCACCUCUUUCUCUUUCAUUUGACCACCACACAAAUAACCUUACUCUUUUUUCCUAACUUUUUCCCCCUCCUCUUCAUAAUUCGCCCCUUUUGUUAACUUUUUUUAAUUCCCUUUCUAAUUUUCUCAAGACCCCUUUUUUACUUAUUCUUAACCUCUCUUCUCUGCGAGCCCACGUUUCUCCGCUAAUUUGGCCUCGAACAAUGGUUAUGAUGUCUCCCAUGAUUUUGACAAAGCUUCCAUUAUUUGCCGCAAUACCAAUAUGCCAAAGUGUUGCCCCCGAUGUUAGUAGGUUUACUUCCCCUUCCCCCUUUGAGAACGACUGAAUCGCAUGCCCACAUUGCAACCGAUCAACACUAAUUGAAAUGAUGCCAUUUAGUAUUUCUCUAUCUAUCGAAUAAGAGAUUGGGCCCACUACCAAUAUGACAUUUUGCAAUGUUCAUGACAUCUUCCCAAUAUUUAGACUACCUUCAGUAUGUUACCACCCCUACCACACAUCAAGUUUUGAAUGUUACUGUCCCUUUUCAAUGAAAGGGCUGAACCCGUGGCCAACAUAUAGCCACAAGCACCAAUUGAAAUGCCAUUUAUUAUUUCCCUAUCUAGCUAGUAAAAGCAUUGGCCAUUAAUUACACUUAAACUUCCACAAUCCUUAUAAAGUCUCUACCUUAAUCAGAUGGUUACACUUUUUACAUUAACAAGUACUAAUCAGAUGACGUUUUGCCCUUAAUAGAGCACAAUAGUGUUAAAGGAUUCAUGUAGCCGACCCCAAUUGAUUGGGACACAAGCUUGGAUUGGUUUGUAAGCACUAAUCAAAUGAUUUAUUAGCAACUUACAUCAUAUCCAUAGUACAAACGCUACAUAAGCCUUCUCCCUCAAUAAAUGAAAGACCGACACAUUUCUUUCUUGAAUGAAAACAUAAACCAAAUUUGGGGUGGGGUGGGGUGGGGGGGUGGGGGGAGAGAGAGGCACAAGGUAAGAACGAUUGACCAUAUUGACCAAAAGCAAAACAAACACCAUAGAAAUGGAAGAAACCAAUGGAGAUACUAAUCAAAUGCUAGAGGCUCAAGUGGUUAUCACCUAUAGUCCCUAAGAAAAAAGAGUGAUGCUUUUCAUAGACACACAUGCCCUCCCUUAUACCACCCCUCCAUCUUUACCUUACUUUGAUUCUCUUUCCUCUGCUGCUGGCUUGAUCACUUCACUCACUCCCCUUCUAAUGCCUCCCUUUUCUAUACUCCGCUCCCUGAUCUUUCAUCAUUUAACCAAAACCAAAUGACCCAAACUGUAUUAGUCACCCUGUUAUACUGCCUAGUCCAAUUUCCUACCAACAAUAUCUAGGAAAUUUAUAAUUUUCUAUAAUCUAAAAGAUCCACUAAAAAGAACCUGCCAUUGCCUUUCACCCCUGCUUUCAUCAUCUUCUCAUUGCUUUUCACCUUCAAACACCCCACGAUCAACUCUGCUCUCUCUCCUACUUGAAUCUCCUCGAUACUUCCUCAAUAGCAACGUCCAGAGCAUCGCAAGCACUCUCCAAAUCUGCUUUAUGGAGAAUGUUUGAUUGUAGUAGCUUUUAAAUAUUUUUAUGUACGGUUCAUUAACAUCCAUCAUUAGUUGGUUCCUCUGGUUGGAUACUGAGUUAUAAAAAAAAACAUCCAUCAGCACAUGCAUUCAAUUAAUAUUAUCUUGUUCCAUUUGCAGGUUUUGGGAGAUGUCAUGCCAGCAAUAUGUACAAGGAGGUUUGAGCUUGAAAGGUGUAGGUAGAAUUUUAUUGGUGGUGGAAUGUUGAACUGCCCUUUUGGCCAUGUUUGUCAAUUAUUGAAAUAUGUUAUUCAUAUUCAUAUUCAUGAGAUUAGACUAGUUAUUCCAAUCUCUUUUCUAAUCCCCUUGAAAUUGGGAUUGAUUGUCAAUUAUUGAAAUAUGUUACAAAAUACAAAUUUCUCAAUAAAAUAUUUAUAAAUACUCUUUAUUUACUGUAACAGGUUGCUCACUAGGCGAAUUUGAGAUGAAUAGGGAGGUGAACAGGUUGCUCACUAGGCGAAUUUGAGAUGAAUAGGGAGGUGAAAGAGAUUUGUCAAAUAACAUUUGUUUUUAAAUUAUUUUAAAUUCUUUUAUUUUUUCUUAUGAAAUUCAAAGAUUGAUUUGCCUUGAUUUUAAAAUCUUUAAACUAUUUGCCAUUUAAAUAUACUCGAUAGAUUUGGGAUAAAGAUUUGAAAUACCUAGAUUUCAAAUCCAUAUAUCCAAAUGAAGCCUUAUAUUUUUUCAAUUCCUUCUUAAGAGAAGAAUGCAAAAAUAUAAAAAAAUUUAUUUAAUUUAAAAAUCAGUUUACCAAGGAUAAAAGAAAAUCAUUUUUACUUGAUAAAUUAGCCGUAUUUUUUGUCUUUAGUGACUUUUUUUAAUAAAUUUGAAUAAGUUUUUAUAUUUUUAGAUUUCUCACAAUCAAUGAAAAUGAAAAAAAUAUAAAAUUUUGAUCAAAUAGUGAAAAUAUUCACUAAAGUCUAAAAAACUCAAAAAUCAAAGCAGUUAAAAAACUCCAAAUAAAAUUAGACCACACAAAGUCUCGAUUUUUCUUUUUUUCCCCACAAUUUAUAUUUUAUACCUCACACAACCCCCCGUAAACUAACUCAAAAAUAGAUAUAUGUACCUAAAAGAUCAUAACUAACAUAAAGAUAGACAAAAAAUUUAAUCCACUUUGAAAUAUUGACCAAAAAAUAUGAUCCAUUCAAAGUUGAUUUUGAUUUUGAAAUUUUAUCGAGAAAAAAAACAUCUUUAAAUAUGCCAACAAACUCAAUUUACACUGCGAGACACCCACCAGACAUUGCUAAAGAGAUAUUGAGAGAAAAAAUAGAGAACCUUAUAAUAUUAAAUUAAUGUUUAAAUUAAUCUCAUUUAAAUAUUUGGAUUCAUAUAAAAAUUUAUACAUGAAAUUUUUUUUUCCAGAAAUUUAUUGAAGUUUAAUAUUUUUAAAUUAAGCCUAGAAUAUAAGGCUAUCACGAGGGAACGAUGGAGAUCAGUUUCGUAAUUACAUCUAUGAAUUGGAUCCGAGUUGAAACUUGGAUGGUAAUAAAAAUUAUAUUUCACCUUGUCUCAAAAUACUCUUAUUCGCAUUCUCAUCUCUUCUCAAGAUUCAUUUCUUUCGCAUUGAAUCUUUUAGUUAAUGAUAACACAACUCUCCUUUGUUAAUUUAAGAAGGCAAAAUAUAUAGUUUUAAGAGAAAAUUUAGAGAAUUUACACAGCUAAUUUGAGGACGUGAACGAACAUAAUUGGCACCUGAGAUUUGAAGGUGUCCCUUGUUGAAAAGACUCCCAAAUUCAAGUCACAGUUAAAUCUUUUCUAUAUGACCAAACCCUCACUCAAUCUUUGAUCUCCUGCCAACUUUUCAUCUUGUGUCUGCGUCCCUCUCCCACCACCACCUUCUCACUUGCUCAACGCCCUCGAUUUGCAGGAAGAACUGAUUGAUUAUGUAUUUGUUCGUUCCUCAUUCCUCAGUUUAACAAAUUGGUGAAUUAGAAGAAAAAAAAUCAAAAAUAGAAGAAAAAAGGGCCCCAAACCGAACCUUAAUAGCUGGCUGUUGUAGAACACAAAGAGUUUCCAAAUGAGUAAUUUGAGUAGGAAGUCAUUGAGUUAUCUUUUAUUCUCGUGCAUUGUGCUGAUUAACUGUUUGUAAUAAGAUAUUAGGGAAUCUAAACAUUCAUUACUAAGAACAAAAUUUAGACAAUGAGACAUUUAUAAGGUUAAAGGAGGUCUUUGGGUCUAGGAUCUAAGCGGAUCGUGGCAUUAAGGAUGGCAAAUCUAAAGAUAAAGAAUGGUCUAAAUCGUAGACCACUAGUCUUUUUGUAACACAUUCAGCCAGGAGGCCAUAAAGUCUCUGAUACUUACACAGUGGUCAAGCUUCAAAGUUUCGACCAAAAAAACAAAGUGUAACGUGAUCAUGCCACACACUUUAUCUUAACUACAAUGAAGUCUAUCUAUAUUUCCUAUAUAUACCCUAUAUAAUACGCAACUGUUACCAAAAUAAAAAACCCAAACUAAUAAUUUUAACCUAAGUCCAGUAACUAAGGUCCUCUUAUGAAAAAAUAAUAAAUAUUAGAGGGGCCUUAACUAACUGAGGGUACCACCAAUAUAACUUUUAGAAAAGAAAAUGAAAUAUUUCUAUUUAUAUAUUCAGAUGCAAGUGUAAUUACUUAAUUUGAGGAGUCACGUGUCCUCUCUAGUCCUAAGCUUCCUCGGCCACAACGCAACAUAAAGACAUUUCUCGUUCAUUGAGCCUACUCGUUCUCAACGGUUUAAUUACUUUAAAACCACUUGGGAUGUAUUUAGAUUAAGAAUUUAGUAGAAAAAAAAUAAAAAGAGAAUAAAAAAAAGUUAAUGUACUCAACAAUUUUGAUCUCUUUCCUUCAUUUUUCUUUUUCUACCACGAUCCUUCCUGCAAUCAGUGAUAUUAAAUUUAGCUUUAUAAUGACCAAAAGAAAUCUUGUAAUAUGAUGAAUGUUAAAAAUGGACAUUUCUUCCCAUUUUGAAGAUGUAAAAACUGUUAUAUUGUAAAUUUUAUCGAGAACGUUAAUAUGUAAAAAAUCACAUGAUUGAAUACAGAUCAUAUCAAAUUUAUAUCAAGAAAAUGGAUAAUGCUGGUUUGUUAUGUUACAUUCCACUAUAAGUAUUAACACAAUACUUAAUGAGUAUCGUUUUGUAUCCAAUUAACAUAAUUUUUUAUAGCAACAAUCUUCACGAUGUAGCCUACAAUAUAAAUAGUUUAGAUCAUCAAAAUGGACCCAAAAUACAGCCCAAAAUACUUGACUACACAAUGCAAUCCAAACCCAAUAACUUCAGAAAAGUUGUGUCCUGAUAGAAAUGGGGUGAAACUAAAGUUGAAUUUUCAAAAAUAAAUUGGGUGAAUUGGCUUCCCAGUGCAUAUGAUGUGGUUUCAUCAAUUAUUUUUGGCAAAAAUCACUUAGUGUAAAGAAGCUACAUUAAUGAAUACUGCUAGAUAGUUCAAAUUAUGACGACUUAAAAUGUUUAGAGUUUAAUUUGUUAGCAAAGUCAAACUCUUGAGGGUUCUUGUAAUUUUUUUAAAAAAUAAAUUUUUGACGGAUUAAAAAGUUUAAAAUUUAAUUUGUUACCAAUGUCAAACUUUGGGGUUUCUUGUAAUUUUUUCAAAAAACUAUAUCAAAUUCCGUUUGAAUCUGAAAAAAUUGCUACAGAGAAAAGAGAAGGGAAAUAGGUAAGAAAAACUAAAUAUUUUGCUUAGUUCCACACAAAAAAGAAACCUAAUAUUUUCGAAUCCCAACCAGAAAGGAGAAUUAGAUUAUACUCAUUUUCUUUUUCCUAUCUAUUCCCUUUCCUCUUCUUUUCCUUCUACAAAUCCAAGAUCAAGAACCAUAUCAUUCCCACCACAACACCCCCCCCCCCCCCCCCCCCCCCCCCCCCAAAUUUCAAGUUGUUUGAGAAAAAUAAAGUACCAUAACAGAAAAUGUAAAGGGAAACGUGUUAUAGAGUUUCCUCUGGUGUUUUGGCACUUGGGGUUUCCAGUGUACCGAAGACAGACCAUCACACACAUCGUGUGCAUACACGGACAAAAUUAGGUUAUCUAGAUGAAUCGUGUUCCUCCACUACGAAACAUGAAUGCGGAAGAAAAAGCUGUAAUAGAUGAGUCUAGGAAAGCAAAAAAGUUUAUGUGAUCACAGAACUUGCAUCACUUUGAUGCACAAAGAACCGUUGUUCGAGGGCACUCGUGAGCCCGGCUUACAAUUUAACUAGACAAAACCUUCACCUGGAAAACCAAAAUCUACUUAAAAUGAAGUUUCCAUACCUCUCAGAACAUUUGACGAACCAUCGGAAACCUCAGCAAUCAGGCUAGCUGCCAUAACUCCUGCGGGAAAGAAGGCCAUCGUAUCAAAUACCUUAUAUACCGUACAAGCUCACAAGAAUGCCUCCCUGACACACCUAGCCUUGCAUCAAGAGUAGAGUAAAUCACAAAACGAAUUCGCUCGUAAUACUAAGGAGCCUCAAAAAAGAUAUAUGAUGCCCUGUCUACAAUUUGAUAAACAAAGCUAAACACACUUUAUAGAAGUCCCCAGUUCCAAUCUCACCCAUGAAAGUACUCAUAUAGCUUUCUCAGCCUGACAAUGCUUCAUUUACUUGUACGAAGUGAAACCCAGUUCAACUUUGAAACAAACAAGAGAAGCAUAAAAAAAUAGCUAUAUUUGCAAUUAAUCACAACACUUACACCUUCCCAAGAAUAGCCAAUCACAACCACAAGGGAGAAAAAUGACCGCAAAUGCAUUUUCCUAUUAAACAUGUGGCUAGUAACCUAUGAGGAUAACGGAUAAGAACAAAUAAAUACCUAUCAGCAAACGUAUCAUUGACUUUAUCCUUCAGUGGAUGAUUCUUAUUAGAGCAUAAUCCAGAUAAAGGGUGAUUCAUGGUUCAGCGGUUCACAUGGAGAGCAGUAAACAUACAAACAUUAUAAGCCAAAUGAAAAAACCCACAUUCGAUUGCCUCGAGCUAUUGAUAUGUAAAUACCAAUCAGGGGGCUUUUUAUUGGUUGUGUGGUAAAAAAUACAGCUUUAUUGAUAAAAAAAACACAAGAAAAGAAAAAAAAAUCUAUAUUUAUAUAUAAUAAAGCUUAGCGUACCAUCUUUCCCAACACAGAUAGAAAUCGCAUGAUCCGCCUCCAAAGUACUGCUUCUUUGAUGGCCAGUAGACAACUCCAUUUCGACGGAUUCAAGCACUACAAAGAGAAAUAAUUUAGAGCAACAUGCCAAGGAAUCUAAAAAUGAGAAAAAAAAAUCAGAAACUAAAAAUAAGCUACCUUCUUAUAAGGUUCAUACAGAUGAGGCAAAGCAGAUACGGAGUAACGGUCUCUGCCAUCAAGGAUAAUCAUAAACCAACUGACGGGAUCCGGCACUGGGCUGCAGUUCGGUACUUUACAUUCCACUGCUCGCAUCUGUAGCCAAAGAUUGGGACUUCUUUAGAAGAUUUAGCAUUACAUUCGGUAUAGUGAGACAUCGCAGGACGUUGGCAUUAAAAUCCCUGAAAUGAUUACAUGGCCACCUGAUGACCGCAAAACGAGAAGCUAAAACACCAGACAUUUUUAGGUACCUCAUACCAAGCACUAAAUGACCAAGAUAUUAAUAAUACCUCAAAGCCUGUGAAGAUUCCAGGAAAUCAUGGCCACAUCCAAGCUAAAACCCAACAAAAAAAACUCGGUCAAACUUACAAAACAACCAAGUUUUUUCCUGGUGGGUCACCCAAGUUUUAUAGAAUUAUUGAAUGCGGAAGAUAGUGAGAUUGAAUAGAGGAGCUUCUUACUAGUUCUUUUAUUGAAUAGAAUGGUCCUUUUGUUUUCAAAGAGUUUGAUGUACUCUCACCAUCAUCGCUCUCAUUGCAAGUACUCUCAUCAACAUCAUCCUCGUCAUCAUACUCCCAUCCUCAUCGCUCACAUUACAAGUAGUAGUACAUCCAUUCUCAUCAUGAACGCCUCGCAAGGCUUUCACCAUAAGCAUCUCAUCAUUGUUAAAUACAAAAGAAAAUAAGAAAUAAAAAAUAUGGUUUUUAAAAUAAACCUCAAAAAAUCACUAUAUAUAGUAUCAUGACCAUUUAAAUAAUGGUUCAAAAAAUAUUUUUAUUUUAACUAAUGUAUGAACUCUUUACCCUUUCGCCCCUCAUGUGAUAUGACCGAUUGCACGAAAAGCGAAACACUAACGAGAGAUUCUAACCAAGGAGCAUGCGAAUACGAAAACGCUAAAGAUCUCACGGACUUUACAUUAUCCAUUCACACCCCAAAAAUUUUUCACCCAAUAAUAGUCCACAUCAUUUUCAGACCUAAACCGUUAUAAAAAUGGCGUGUUUGUCUAGGUCGUCAUCUCGUUUUGGACCAUUUAUAAAUUGCGACAGAAGAAAAAGAUAAAGAAUAGAAAAAAUAUGAAACUACUUUUACUUACCACAAAUAUAUACAUGUUACUUACAAUGCUGAGAUCUUCCAAAUGAGGAUAUACUGAUAUUGAACCAGGAAUGGAUGCUCUGUGACAGAAUGUUUACAAUUUACCCGGAACAUUCUUCAGUAAACGAUUCAUAAUCUUUGAUAAAAAUCUGGGCUUAUGAAAUGCAACAAGAAACAAGAAAAGAGAGAUCAAUUUAUUACUUAUAAGACAAUUUAUGAAUAACAUAUCCUAUUUAUUAUAAACUACUGUAGACUUGUAGUCUCUUUUAGCCACAAAGGAUAAUCUGCUUCCAUGGUCACUAUACAGACUUUUAAUAAGUAAACAGUAACCAAACUUGUUUUUUGGUCGUAAAAACAUCCAACCUUAUCUAUUCGAUCGGUUGUAUUAAUGGAUAUUUCACAAGAAGACAGUUUAUUAUCUCUUGUAUGGAUAUUUCAAUUUUUUCUCCCAUUUUCAACAUGUAUAGCGAUUCACAUGCCCCAAUCAUCAUACAAGCAUUUGAAAAAAUAUGUAUUAGUUAAUUAUCAAUUGAGAUAAGAUAAUUGAUAUAAAAAAAUUAUCUUCUUAAUGUGCUUCCUGCAAUUGUUGAUUUCGACAAGUGAAUAAUCUAACCCUGUAGGUUCCAAUAUUUUUGAAAAUCAUCCGGUUAGUUUCGACUAAAUUCGUGUAAUUUAUGUACUUUGAUUUUGGAAUGACAAAAGCAUCCGGUUAGUUUCGACACAAUAUAGUGUAAUUUAUGUACUUUGAUUUUGGAAUGACAGGAGUUUUAGUCGGCAUCUAGCUAGGUCGGGUUAUGUCACUUGUCAGAAAUAAAAAAAAUUGCAGGUAAGCACAUAAGAAGUAUUAAUUUUUUUUAUAAAUAUUUUAUGUUAAUUGUAUUAACUAAUACAUAUUUUUAAGAUGAGUGUGCUGAUGAUUGGGGCAGUGAAUCACAUACAGUUGAAAAUGGGAGGCGAAAAUUGAAAGAUACCAUACGUAGGAGAUAAUAAACUGUCUUUCUUGUGAAAUAUCUAUUAAUAACCACUCCGAUUGAAUAGAUUAGGCUGGAGUUUUACUACUAAAUUGGUUAUGGUUUACUAUAAAUAAAGAAUGUGGAGUGGCCAUGAAGCAGGAUUAUCCAUGUGGCUAAAAAAGAAGACUGGCAAGUCCACAGAGUUAUCAGUAGAUAGAUAUGUAUUCCUAAAUUGUCUUAUAAGAUAAUAAAUUGAUCUCUCUUCUUAUGUAUUGUAUUGCUGUGCAGUUUAGUAGCUCAUAUUUUUAUCAAAGAUGAAUGAAUCGUUUAUUGAAGAACGGUAUCCGAGGUGAAAUGUGAAAAUUCUACACAAGCAUCCCAUUCCUGGUUCACUAUCCAGUGUAUUCUCAUUGGAAGAUCUCAGCAAUGUAGAAGUAAAUGUAUAUAUAUGUGGUAAAAGUAAAAGUAAUACAUAUUUUGUCUAAUUCUUAAUUUUUCUUAUGUAGGAAUACUUCGGUAGGGAAUUUAUGAACUCCCCAUGGAAAAUGAGAUGUACGAAAUUUGGCAAUAAGCAAUGUUUAAUAUCGGGUUAUGGUACCAGAAGUGGUUGUGGGUAGAUUAUUGGGUGAAAACUUCGUGGGGUAGUUUUUGGGGUGUGAAUACGAUACGGUAAAAGUCUAGUGAGUGUUCUUAUUAGGCGGUUCGUAAUCCCAGGUGCCUUGGCUUAGAAUCUGUCUCAUCCAAGGUUGCCUUGGCUAGAAUCUUCUCGUAGAAAUUAGUGUUGUUUUUUUCGUCAUUUACAUUUCAAGAAUAUGCUAAAAUAAAAAGUUCAUGAAAAUGUUUGUUGGAACCAUUAUUUAUAAUUGUCAUAAUACUAUAGGGCUAGGAUGUAGUGAUUUAUUUGAGGUUAUUUCAAAAAAAUUAUUUUCUAAUGUCUAAUUCUCGCUCAUUCUCUUUUACAUUUAAGAGAUGAGGGAAGUGGUGAUGAUAAGAGUGAUCCUUACAUUUAAGAGAUGAGGGAAGUGGUGAUGAUAAGAGUGAUCAUGAUGAGGAUGUGGAUGAUGAGAGUGCUUAUGGUGAAAGCCUUGACGAGGGUGUUCAUGAUGAGGAUGAGUAUUGGGAGUACUUACCAUGAGAGUGUUGAUGAUGAGGGUGAGGGUGAGCGUGAGGAUGAGUAUUGGGAGUACUUACCAUGAGAGUGCUGAUGAUGAGGGCGAGGGUGAGGGUGAGGGUGAGCAUAAUGAUGACAGUACUUGCAAGUUGCAAUAAGAGUGAUGAGGAUGAGGAUGGGAGUACUUAUCGUGAGAGUGUUCAUGAUGAGGGUGAGGGCGAUGAUGAUGAUGAGAGUACUUGCAAGGUGAGCGAUGAGGAUGAUGAUGGGAGUACGUACCGUGAAACACCGUUGAUGACGAAGGUUUUCACGAUGAUGGCGAGGAGGAUAAUGACGUACUUACUCUGCUUUGCCAACGGACAUGCGUGUUGACGAUGAGUACUUAAUUAACACUUUGAAAACGAAAGGGCCAAAUUUCAUUCAAUAAAAACAAACAACUAAUAAAAAACUCUAUUCAAUCCCUACUUCCUGUUUCAACAAUUUUUGUAAAACUGGGUGACUCACCAGGAAAAUUGACAUUUUUUUGUAAGUUUUACCGGAGUUGUGUUGUUCGGUUUUUUAGCUUGGAUGUGGCCAUGGACUUGGAUUGGCCCAUGGACUUAGGUGGACUUCACAUCACCAAUUUAUAAAUUGGCAGUUUGGAUCCCAGUUUCAUUGGGUGAGUACUGUAUGCACGUUUCAGCUCCAUCACACUUGGUUUUAAACUGAGAAGUUUUCCCUCACUGUACCAUAUUCCUGGUCCACCUAAAAUACACCGUCCUCCCAAUAGGAAUUCUGAUUUCUAUUCUUUCUGUCCGUUCAAAGUCUUGAUAUUUCCCACAUCUUUACAAUUUAUCCAACAAUCGAACUAUUAACUAUUUAACUGAAACCUUAAACCAAAAUUCUAUGAUGCCGGCCUGGCAUCAAUAACAAACACCAAAAUAAGCUAAAAUGUGACAAGAAGGUAGAAAUGGGAGGGGGAAGGUUGGCUUCCACCCGCCGGAAUAAAGAAGAAUGGGAGGGGGAAGUUCACAGCUUUCCCCAGAUCAAAGGUUGGGCGAAAAAUAGUCCGUCUUUCUUUAAUUCAAAUCAAAGCUGCUUUUCUCAUCGUAACAAAAACCUUAAAUAGAAGCAAAACUAUCCUAUUUGAUAACUACUAAAAAUUUAAAAUAAGACUCCUACAUACUAAAACUCCUAAUAAAAUAAAAUUUUAUUUGAUAACUACUAAAAUUAAAAUAAAACUCCUAAAUCACUAAAACUCCUAAUUAAAUAAAAUUCUACAUAACUUUAAUGAAACAACUAAUAUAAAAUUAAACCAAUUACAGAUUAAUAAAUAAAUAAUCAAUUUAAAAUUUUUUUUUUUUAUCACGCAUCAUUCUCCUCCACUGAAAAACUCGACCUCGAGUUGGUCAGAUACUGAAUUCCUUCCACACCAAACGAUUAAUACUCUUGAAAUAGGUGGACGCAACUUUCUUUGGUUCGGAAAUUUAAAAACUCUUUAAAACCCAAACCCAACUAAUAUCAAUUUUCAAAUGCAAAGGCAAAACGUAAAGAAAGUUAUCAACACCAAUCAAUCGAUUCUUUCUACUUUCGGUACACUUUCAAAUUGUGAAGGGGAUCUUUUUUUCCUUGCAGACCAUUUUUAACUUUUCAAAUUCUUUCCAAGCAACUCUUCGUCUCCAAAGACCUAUUGAAAAAAAUAGCAGCCUUUUAAAAUGCAAUAUAAGAAGAAAUAUGCUUUUGAGACAGACGCCAUGAGUCUGGAUAAUAAUGCAGCUUUGGUUUCUUUUUUAAACUGUUGCUCUUCAUUUUAUUUCUCGCAACUAAUUUGAAAAAUUCUCAUUUUUCUCAGAACUUUCAAUAAUCUAGUUCUUGCUCUUUUUGCAUUGCCUCUAAUUUUUCUGCUGCGCCACAUCGAAACUAAUCUAUCUCUUGGAUAUGAAUAGGGAAUGUAUUUAUUACUUGCAAGACGUCUAUCAUCUCAAGUCCAAUCAGUGUGGUUUUCGUUGUUGAGCGGUCCUCAUGCUUUGCCAAAAGAACUUGGCUCGGCUUAUUAAUUUCAAUUUAGUCAAAUCGACGUUUUGCUAUCAUCAGACAACUUUGUUGCGCCAUGCAAAGAAAUCGAUUCAUCUCAUGAACCCAAUCGUAACGCUUUCGGAUCAGGCACCAUCAAGUAGUGAAGCCUCAUCCAUUAUAUUGUAUUUAGAAUUGUCUAAUUUUUUUCAGCUAAGCUGUAAUUUGUUUGAAAAAAAUAACAGAUUGGUGAAUUUUGGGGAAAUGGGGUGUGAUCGAUUCGGCGUCUGAUACCAAAUUUGACGCCGGACCGGCAAUCAGAUAAACAAAAAUAGAUAAUCGUACCAGAAUGCGUAGUGGUCGGGUGAAGUUUCUGGCUUGCCGCCAGAACAUCAAAGAAGAAGGGGAAGGGUAGAAGUUUGCUUCCGCAGAUUCACAGGUUGAAAAAAAAAAAAAUCAUCGUUUUCUCUUAUUUCAUAUCUAUCUGUUUCGAUCGUAACAAAACAAACACCUUACUACGGAAAUUAAACUAAUCCUAUUUGAUAGCUACUAAAAUUUUAAAUAAGACCUCCUAACAUACUUAAACUCCUAAUUAAUAAAAUUCUAUAUUUCCUGGUACUUUUUAAAAUUUAAAAUAAGACCUGCUAAGCUACCGAAAACUUGGCCAAUAAUAAAAUUCUAUAUGCCUAAAUGAACAACAACUAAUAAAAAAUUUAAAAAAUACAAUCUUUCUAAAUAAAAUAAAUACACUUCUUAUACCCGCAUCAUCUAUGAACAUAAAAAAAAAUGGUUCUUCUUUUCUUUCCUAUGUUACAAAAAGAAUUCUUUAUAUUUAAAUUUAUACUUCUCCUUGUGUCCAAGCAUUGGCUAGCCUCCUAAAGUUUUCUGUAAAUUUAAAUAAUGGAGAUUACCACAAUAAUAGAAUUUGUAAGCAAUGAAGCUAAAACUUAUACAUUUGCUACCUUGGGCUUUGUCACUUCAAUUCUUUUUCUUUUCCUCACUUCGGUUAUAUGGUGAGCCUCCUUUUUUACUGGACAACUCAAGAGUCAACCAUGUUUUGUUGCACUCUUUUAGAACUAUAACUCCUUCUUCUAGGUGAAGUGAGGUUCUCUUAGGACGUACUGAAAAACCCUUAUUGCUUCCCGAAGUAACUCUAGGGUUGUUGAACUCUUUAUUUUUGUUUGUGUACGGAUUUGAUAGCCAUCACCCCGUUAUCAGUACCCCUUUCUUUUGCAAUCUUUUGCAAUCACCUCACACCUCAUCACCAAGGCAAUCGCAAUGUUAUCAUAGCGACAUGCUCAAUUGUAAACGAGGGCGUCCUCAUAGUUGUUCCGAGUAAUUAGAUAGUUAUGAACCGUGUACCUAAAAACAUCGAAAAGCCACCUACAAUCAAAUAUGUCCUCCAUAAAGUCUAGAAUUUGAUCUCCUAGACAAUUCUAUUUAUACUUCCAGCUUGUACGCAAUUUCAACUGUGUUGGUUUUCA